AUUGAAUGCUGGCGGCAUGCUUUACACAUGCAAGUCGAACGGCAGCGCGGGCUUCGGCCUGGCGGCGAGUGGCGAACGGGUGAGUAAUGCAUCGGAACGUGCCCAGUAGUGGGGGAUAGCCCGGCGAAAGCCGGAUUAAUACCGCAUACGACCUGAGGGUGAAAGCGGGGGACCGAAAGGCCUCGCGCUAUUGGAGCGGCCGAUGUCGGAUUAGCUAGUUGGUGGGGUAAAGGCUUACCAAGGCGACGAUCCGUAGCUGGUCUGAGAGGACGACCAGCCACACUGGGACUGAGACACGGCCCAGACUCCUACGGGAGGCAGCAGUGGGGAAUUUUGGACAAUGGGGGCAACCCUGAUCCAGCCAUGCCGCGUGCGGGAAGAAGGCCUUCGGGUUGUAAACCGCUUUUGUUCGGGAAGAAAUCCUCUGGGCUAAUACCCCGGGGGGAUGACGGUACCGGAAGAAUAAGCACCGGCUAACUACGUG
rnacentral:rRNA from 1 species